rnacentral:rRNA from 1 species
AUCAACGCUGGCGGCGUGCCUAACACAUGCAAGUCGAACGCGAAAGCCCGCAAGGGUAAGUAGAGUGGCGCACGGGUGAGUAGCACGUGGACAACCUGCCUUCGAGUGGGGAAUAACCUUCCGAAGGAGGGCUAAUACCGCAUAACACCUCGGGACACAAGUUCUGGGGUUGAAAAGAGCAAUUUGCUCGAAGAGGGGUUCGCGCCUGAUUAGCUAGUUGGUGAGGUAACGGCUCACCAAGGCUUCGAUCAGUAGCCGUCCUGAGAGGGAGCACGGCCACACUGGAACUGAGACACGGUCCAGACUCCUACGGGA